rnacentral:rRNA from 1 species
GACGAACGCUGGCGGCGUGCUUAACACAUGCAAGUCGAACGGAAAGGCCCUGCUUGCAUGGUACUCGAGUGGCGAACGGGUGAGUAACACGUGGGUGAUCUGCCCUGCACUUCGGGAUAAGCCUUGGAAACUGGGUCUAAUACCGGAUAGGAGCCAUUUUUAGUGUUAUGGUUGGAAAGUUUUUUCGGUGUAGGAUGAGCUCGGGGCCUAUCCGCUUGUUGGUGGGGUAAUGGCCUACCAAGGCGGCGACGGGUAGCCGGCCUGAGAGGGUGGACGGCCACAUUGGGACUGAGGUACGGCGCAGACGCCUACGGGAGGAAGAAGUGGGGAAUAUUGCACAAUGGGGGCACGCCUGAUGCAGCGACGCUGCGUGGGGGAUGACGGCCUUCGGGUUGUAAACUACUUUCGCUAGGGACGAAGCUUUUUGUGACGGUACCUAGAUAAGAAGCACCGGCUAACUACGUG